CCCAGCUGCUGGGCUCGCCUUGGCACUUGCUUCUCUGGUCUUGGGGUGAAGGCCUUGCCUGCGGGAGCUGGGUUUCUUCAGGAGCCGCCCCAGAGGGCGUGGAGGGUGAGGACAUCUCCCUGCCCGUGGCUGAUGCGGAGCGCAGGCUUACUUGCUGCACAGGCCAGAGACAAUUCCUUGAGAUCUAGAACAACGGAUGAGGGGAUGCCUCGGCAGUGUCUCCAGCAGUGCUCAGCCUCAAAAAUCUCUUCAGUGGCUCCCACUGUCCGCGCUCAGGCUAAAGUCCAAGCCUCCAGACAAGCUGAUGAGAGUCUUGCCAUCUGCUCCUGCUGUCUCAGGCCCGCGGCCCCUCUCUGACAACCUCCUUCUCUCUGGCUUCCCCAUUCACCUGACCGAGUCCGUGUCAAGGGUCAUUCCGCAGCAGCCCUGCUGGUCGCCCCCUCGGCCAGGAGCGUGUCAGGCGUCCCUUCCAGGGAAGGCUGUGGCGUCUCAAGCUCCCUGUCACAAUUCUUGUGGGUCUGUUGAGGUU